rnacentral:pre_miRNA from 1 species
GGUUUUGAGAGGCUGAAGCUGCCAGCAUGAUCUGGUAAUCACUAUAUAUAUACGACAUACACGCACUUCUAUAUAUGUACAUAUAACUUUAUAUAUAGAUGAGUUAAUUUGUUCCUUUGAGCGAUUACGUACGUAUAUAUAGGUUUAUUUGUGUGUGUGUGUGUGUGUAAAUAGUAGUACGAGAUCAUCCUGCAGCUUCAUUCACUCAAUCA